AAAGCAAAGGGGUGGGGUUGGGAUGGCGUGAUUGCUUUUGCUUUUCUGCUUUAUACAGUCAUCUUUGAAAAAUCGAAAGGUCAAAAACGUAAAUAAUCCAAAAACCCAACCCCAUUUCCCACAACAAGGGUUUUUCAGAGGUUUCCCCCUUCUCUCCUCUCUCUCUCUCUCUCUCUCAAUGCAAGAAGGCUUCGCUUCUGUUUUACUAACCUGAGCACUCAGUUCCAUAUAGCAAAUUCCCCCUAACAUGCACAUAUCUGCAGAGGGGGUGCGCAUUGUACAUCUCCUGUUAUGAGUCUCGAACCCCCACCCCCACCCUCACGCUUCUCCACGUGCCACCUCCACCCAGACCAGCCCGUGACCGGCUUCUGCGCCGCAUGCUUGCGGGAGCGUCUCGCCGGACUGGAGCCGGCGUCUCACCGUAACCCUCAAAGCUCGUCCUCGGUCUCGUCCUCGACCGCAUCUGCACUCAAAGCCAUCUUCCGAGCCACCGUAUCGUCAGACGCGGCUAAGAUCAGAGCCGCUUCCGCGUCGGCCUCUAACUCCUGCGGCUUGCCCGAACUCCGCCGCAGCAAGUCUUUCUCUGGUGCUCGGGCCGAUGGCAUUCCCGUAAUUUUCGAGCCUCAGAGAAAGUCCUGCGAUGUUCGGGCGCGGAACACGCUCUGGUCUCUGUUCCACCAGGAUGAUGAGAAGAAAUGCGUGAGCACCGAUUGGGGUGAUAUCGCGUCCUCGUCCACGGCGCCGGCGCCGGCCCCGGCCACGGCUGAUGGUAGGAAUGUAAAUCUGGGGUUUGGGGAAGUGAAGGAGGAGAUUGAAGAGGAGGAGGGGGAGAUUGAAGAGGAGAAAGGGGAGAUUGAAGAGGAGAUCAGGACCGUUGAUUUCGAUGAGAUCGAGGAAGAGGUGGAAGUGGAGGAGGAGGUAAAGACGAUCAAGGACCACAUUGAGAUCGACGCGGGGAUGAAGGAUCGGACGGCGGAUAAGGUAGCUGAGAAGAGGGAUUUGAAGGAGAUCGCUGGGAGCUUCUGGGUUGCGGCCUCGGUUUUCAGCAAGAAAUUGCGAAAGUGGCGACGCAAGAAGAAGAGGUGUGGGGAUGACGGCGGGGAUGGCACGGAGUCUGUCACGAUGACGGUGCGGCGGGCUGAGAAGCGUGCGGCAUCGUCGUCGCGGCGGUUCAGGGAAACCCAGUCGGAGGUGGCGGACUACGGGCACGGGCGGCGGUCGUGCGACACGGACCCUAGGUUCUCACUGGAUGCGGGGCGGAUCUCGUUCGACGAUCCACGGUACUCGUUCGAUGAGCCGAGGGCGUCGUGGGAUGGGUACUUGAUUGGCGGUGGGCGGGCCCUCGGAGUGUUACCGAGGGUGCCUCCGAUGGGCUCGGUGGUGGAGGAUGCCCCGGGCCUUAUCCGGCGGUCGGAUACUCACAUCCCAGUCGAAGAGCCAAUGAAUUCGAUCAGUGAGGAUCCGACGACACCAGGCGGGUCGGUGCAGACACGGGACUACUACUUGGAUUCCCCGUCGCAGAGGAGGCGGCCGAGCAUAGACCGGUCUAGCUCGGUCCUGAAGGCCGGGCCCGUGGGGGUGGCGAUGGAGGCUGAUGAGUUGAAAUCAGUUUCAAACUCGAAGGUCUCUCCGGCAAGUAUGGAUUACUUCCCAAAGAUUGGAGCUGCCACGGUUGAGCGAGAUUUGAGGGACUCGAACUCCAAUUCUCUACGAGAUGACUGUUCAGAGAGCUUUGAGUCUGCCUACAGAGAUGCAGUGGGCCUGUCAGGUGGCGGGGCCCAGAAGGGCUUGAAGAAAUCACGUCGAUGGAGUAAGGCAUGGAGCAUUUGGGGACUGAUAAACCGGCGGGGAAGUAGCAAAGAUGAUGAAGAUGAGAGAUAUAGCACCAGAGGGAAUGUGGUUGACCGGUCGUUCUCGGAGUCUUGGCCAGAGCUGCGGAGAGAGGCUAACGGUGGUGACCCGAGAGGGGCAUUCAAUCAGAAGGUUUUCCGCAGCAAUAGCAGCGUCAGUUCAAGGACUGCUUACAGCAAUGGCGGGUUCGGAAGGAGUAGUAAAGAGACCAAUGGGCAUAGUAAGAAGAGGAGGGAAGAGUUUGUAUUGGAGCGGAAUCGGAGUGCUCGGUAUUCUCCCAAUCAUAUCGAUAAUGGGCUUCUGAGGCUUUACUUGACGCCGCUGCGCAGCAGCCGGAGGGGUGGUGGUGCUCCUGGUAAGAAUAGGCCGAAAAACAGCUCGCACUCAUUUGCUAGGAACAUGCUGCGAUUGUACUGAAUCGGAGGCUGAGCCCCACCAGGAAGAUCCCACAUUUCAUUUUCCUCGACAUGUUAUCGGAGAUGGAUUUAGCUCGUUUGGGAUCUUCAAGCAUGUAUCAGAUAUGAGCAGUCGAACAGCUAUCCAUUUCUCUUCUUUCAAGUAUUAUGGUCUGUUGAUGGCAUUGGAGUGUGGACAAACGGUGCCAGAUGCUUAAUGAAAAGAGGAUCUGACAGGUGUUAAGAUCUUGACGGCUGCCCAAAAGAAAAUCCAACCUUUUCUUUUCCAGCUUGUACUGGACCAGACGACAGUGCUGUGGCCACUGCACAAUAGCUUCGGUUCCUUACUACAAUGAGGGAGGAAUCGGAACACUCAAAUGCAUGGUGAUAGAAUUUUGUGGGCCAUGCCAUUAGAAUUCUUCGGAUGCAUCCUGUUCGUUGGGCUAGAAGGUUAUUAGAAAUCAAUGGCGUAAGCAAUCCUGUCUGGUCUGAGAAGGCAGUUAUGGCAGACCAUGAUCUAAAGAAAGCUCGAAGUGAGGGGUGAAUGUCUGAAGGCAUCGUUUGGAGAGGUUUUCUGUUGAAUGUAUCAUCCAGAUUGAUGGCUGUGUGAGAAUGAGGUGAUGGGGAUUGAUAGUACAUUGGUGGCCAGUGAUGACUUGAUUUGUGGACCCAGGUGGGGUUGCAUGCCUGCCAGAAUGGUUGAAAUCUCAAGAACAGAUAUGUUGUCUCUUUUCUCCUUUUAUUGUGGGGCUUGAUCUCCUGUACGUGUAAGUGCUACUUGAUCAAGAGAUAAAAUUGGUGGGCUCCAUUGAAAAGA